rnacentral:lncRNA from 1 species
UGUGAACUAAGGAACACCGCCACCAUCUACUCAUCAGAAAGGACUCUUCUCUGGAUGAAGGCAAUUACUGAAGUCAAUGAAGUCCAUAAGAGCAAAGUUAAAGGUCCAGGAGGACUGUGUCCAAUUCUGAGAAUCCUAAGUCAAACUCUCUACCAUCCCCUGGUUCCAGUCAAAUUCCAAGCACGAGCCACCACAGAACCUUUACAAGGCCAACUUAAGAGCUUAAAAGUACAGACCCCUGGACAGGAUAGCCUCUCCCACAACUCCAUACUAUAGGAACACAAUUUUAUUGAAAGUUCGAAGAGGAUGAGUUUGGCAUCUGGCCUGUUUUAACUUUAGCAUAGCGUCCCUAAAAUUGAGUGUCAUUGUUAGAAAAGGAAGCAGUCACAUUGCCUUUGGGACCCUUUGCUUUAGUCUCAAGUCUUCAACUUCAAUCCCCAAGUCAUGAAGAGUGUGUGGCACCAUGGUGGGCCCUCCUUUGGGAUGGGGCCACUAGCCAGGCAGAGGAAGGAUCCCUCCUUUUGGCUCCUUGGUUAGUCUGUUAGCCGGCUGAUUUGCAAGCCUCACCUAGCUGAUAGUGUGAGGCAUUACCGGCUAGAAGAGGGAAAAGGGGCCAUCAGGUGUCAAACGGAGGCCUAGCGAUCCUGUUGAAGGGGAGAGGCUUGAGACAGCAGCUUUACAGAUGUUGAUGUUUACGAGUUAAGCACAAGCUCAUUAUGGAGUAGUGAGCUUGUCAGCACCCGCGCCCAUUAAGCAAAUGACACAAAAGGAAUUUAACUUGGGUAAACUGGGCAGGUAAGGAGUCUUGCCCUCAGCUGAAAUCCUUCCCAGUCCAAGUCCCUUUGCAGUGAACUGUCUGAACCACCAACUUCAAUAGAGCACUUGAAAUUACACAGCCAGAGUUCAUUCUCAAAAAUGCAUGAGUGAGAACAAGAGUUUGCCUAUCGCAGGGUAUGAAUGGAUUGGAUUUAAAGAGACCAUGUCCCCUCAAUGGAGGGCUCAAGUCCAUAAGUGAUCAGGUGAGGCAAUGCCCAGCUUCCAGUGGACUUAAAGCAUUUGCAAGUUGUGAGCCAGAGGGAGAACUUGGUCCCGAAGAGCUCCCUUUUCUAAUUAUGCUGAAGACUUCUGCCCUACAUACCGUCUAUCCAAAUACUCGCAACUGAUGAGGCAUCUGAGAGAUUACUCUAGCAACACAAGACAACU